CGUGCAGGCUGUUAGUUAAGUCGGAUGUGAAAUCCCUGGGCUCAACCGAGGAAGUGCAUUCGAAACUCACUAGCUAGAAGAUGGUAGAGGAAGGUGGAAUUCCAAGUGUAGAGGUGAAAUUCGUAGAUAUUUGGAGGAAUACCGGUGGCGAAGGCGGCCUUCUGGACCAUUCUUGACGCUGAGACGCGAAAGCGUGGUAGCAAACA
rnacentral:rRNA from 1 species